AUCGACCUGGAAUCCCAAUCCAAUGUUGUAUGUACUAUAUAGUAGGAUUAAACUUAUAUACAUCCAUACAAAAAUUUGUAAACUGUCGUAUUUUAAUCUAUUAGGCUAAAUUAUCUGAAUUAGUGUAUGGAACUUGUUACUACAGUAAUUUCGUGUUGCAAGCAAGUUAACUUGAUAGUAUAAAGUAGGCAAAACGACUUUGUAGUCAUUAUACUUGUACCGAUUUGUCAUACCGGUAUAUAGAUUUUUAUUUUUUUCAUUUAGAUACCUCUACUUGAUGAACUGAAUACUACUAAUAAACACAUCCGACUGAACGUACUUUCACUGGCUAUGACAUGACUGACACGUCAUGUACUAAGCCUUUUAUUCUUUAAUAUGCCAUAAUUUGUGGGUCCUACUUUAAAAAUGUCAAAAAUAUUAUUUAUUUCUCCAAAUCAUAUACACCAAAUAAAGAGUAUUAAGAACCAUUGAAAAUAUUUUUUUAAUAUAAAAGGAUAAAUUUAUCCAUUUUAUCUAAUCAUGAAAAUACAAAUUAUUUUAUGUAGAAAUUCGAGGAUCAACUAUCAACCCCUGCACCUUUUUUAUGUUCAAAAUCCUACAUGUUUAACUCAGAAAUAAUUUCAGGAUAAAAUAAUUAAUUUUAUAUUUAGUAUGGUCACUAGCAACCGGUUUGAAUUAAAGCUUAGCCGAAUGAAUCCUAGAAUUAGGAUAAUUAAGUUGUAAAAUAAAGCAAUAAAACUAAAUAACCAAAAGAAAUAAUGAUCCUACUGAGUUUCGUUAUGAGCCGCAAUGCCUGUAAAGUAAAGAGAGAUUGCCCAGCAAAAAUACAAUAGCCUUUAGUGAUGAGUAAGUUCGAUCAUAUCUGAAUGAGUUACAAGAAAGGGGAGUGGGGGGUAUUUAUAGCCUAAGUCUUACGUUCACAUGCGCAUCCUACUUUCGCACGUCGCUCUGAGCAAUUCGUAAUCACAGAGUUAUUUACCGGUUAUGGGAGGAGUAUCUAGCAUAAUGAAAAUGAGUGGAUUCCUAAUAUUCUAGGGACGGUCGAGGACCAAGUCAGAUCUCGAACUAUUACUUCACUGAUGGAUCUACAGAACCAUCUUUGGGGCACUUCACCAAGACAUGGCUCUCGUCUCCCCGGGAAGGAGUUACCGGGUCAGAGACACUUUCUGCAGAGAUAGAGUUCCGCUACUAUUUUAUUCCUCAGAUAAAAUCAUUUCCAAGUAAUAUUGUAUCAUCAUGCAAUCUAUCUACAUGUCAUAGCCAGAUUUUACCAAUACAGAUAGUUCUCCUAUUUUAUGAAAAAUUCUAAAAAAUAUUCGGGAAGCGGUAUGAUAUUUGGCGUAUUACAGAAGGAUUUUUCGAUGGAAUUACCAUGCAACUAUCAUCAUUUUUGAAUAUGAAAAUAUGUCUAGUCGAUUCCAUUUGAAGUUCCAGACACGUGGCAGACGUUAACGAUUUUUGACGCCAUAGCGAUUACCAAGGUCAUGAUGAUCUCACCUAUAAGAACUAUCUUCUUCCUUUGUCCUUAAUAUCUUUUGCUCGAACUUCCUUCCUGAAAUUUUCCAAACUCUAUUGUUGCUAUUCUUAAGAAACCUUUGAGCUCUUUACUUCUUGUUUUUUCUCAUAUUACCAUAACAACUUCCAAUUUCUUCUCCCAAUGCUUUAUUUAGGGCUCACGAAAUAACCUCCUCCAUUAAGAUUGUUGUUGUCACUUCUCUCCCCACGGCCAUGAAGGAUAUAUGGUGGAAGAACUACCUGUCCUCACUAGGAGAAGUAGCGAUAUGAGAACCUCCCACGAUAGUGGGAAAUAGAUAAUCGACCCCACAAUAAAAGCGAGGUGGUUCCAACUACCACGCCUGCAAGGGAUUGGAGCCAGCCUCUACUAAGAAGGGUAAAGCCUCUAAGGUUGCAGGCAUGAGCAAGAAGGAAUAAAGUGAACCAAAAACUUCAAAGGUUCUUCUGAAGAUGCUCCAUCUCAUUGGUCCAGUUGGCUACAAGAGCAUUACUCCAAAAAGGGUGAUUAAAACUUUUCCAUUAGCUUUGUAAGAGAAGCAUCUUUUGGCAGUACUACGAGAUUAUGCCUGGGAAGGUAAGGUUCAAGCUUCUCUUCUUGAAGUAGGUGAGAACAUAACCACCUAUCGAGAAGGUUUUCCAUUUAUAUUCAUCUACCCGUUCACCCUCGUGUUUGUACCAUCCACCGAUCUAGUGAUCGAGGACCUUUAUAAGGCGCAUAACAGUUGCCUAGGUCAAUUGGGGCUAAACGUCUGGCGAUCAAGGACAUGCUUGAGGUUCCUUGUCGAGAAGAGGAUUAUUCAACCGAAAAUGGUAGGAGAGGUUCAUUAAAGUACCUACCCGAGAAAUCUUGAGCGAAAGCGACCUCCCCUUCUCGAAAGAGUGGAAUUUCAAGUGUAGCUUCUUUUUUUUUUACUUAUUUAUUAUUUGUCUUUCUUGAGCAAGAUAUUCUGACUUGUAUGAUGGACAAUCGCUCUGGAUUUCAUCACCGGUCCGCUCUCAGAUAUGGAAGAGUGGGUCGACAAAAUUUGAAGUCAACAACCAUGGAGGUGAGGACGUGAAAAGUGAUUUCUCUCACGAAAGGAUGGGAGCCAAAAAAUCAUGGCAUGAGUAUUUCAACCCAAGGGUACUUUAGUUUUUCUUCUUUGCUGAUAUCCCUAACAUUUAUCUUCUACUGAAAUAGCUACCGGAUCAAGGAGAUCAUCGGUGUAGGUUGAAGUUCUAGGUCUUGAAGUUCCUCAAGAUCCCGUCCACCAAGUACCCCCGCCGAAGAGGAAAGCCAGUGAGGGGGAGUUUCCCCUAAGCCCAUGAAACAGAGAAAGAAUAAGAGCUCUAAGAAGGGGGCCCAAGAGAAAAGGGAGGAGAAUAGUCCUCUUAUGGAGGAUGAUGACAAGCCAAAAUUUCCCUUGAGGUGGAGAUCCGGCAAAGAGUCGAUGGCAUCGAGGGAAGGAGCUAUGGUGUUUCUGUGCGAGAAUUUUAGCAAGACGACCGCAGUCCUUCUAGAGGGGUUUUUGUUUCUGGCGCACGACUUCCCCAAGUUGGACAUGGUAACUUAUUUUGAAACCUCACUUGAUGUGUCCCCAUGUUUGGUACCCGAAGAAUCUACCACCACAAUAAGGUAGGUGUUUGUGGAAAUUCCCUUUGACGUGAACGUCUUCCGUAGGACCAAAAAGGUUGCUCUAUGGUUCAAAGGUUUUAUCGGGCCUCUAGAAUGAGAGUACAUGGACAAAUAUUUGAUGGAGGCACUUGCUAAUCACGUGGCAUACUCAGGGUUCAAGGUUAACCUGGCGGCGAUAGAACUUCAUACUAGAAUCGCAAGGAGCAGCGCAAUUCUACACAAGCAAGAAAAAGAGAUUGAGAGGUUAACACAAACCCUGGCGGGGAGGGACACGGAGAAGGAAGAUAUGUCCUUUGUAAUGACCCGAUAAAUUGCUUUGAGUUUUAACUUACUGUUUCAUGAUUUAAGACUUUGAAUAGCUCUAUUUAAUGUGUUUUAAUAAAGAAAUAUUUAUAUUAGAGUUUUGAUAUUGUUGAAGUUGGCCAUAUUCAACAUUCUUGGUAAACGACAUCAGAUCGGUAACUUGACCAUUUUGGUAGGUUCGUAUGAUAGUUUUGGACUUGUACAUAUAUUUGGUUGGGUCCCAGGUGACCCAAGGCAG